CUCUCUGUGCUAAACAUAUGGCACGGCCGCGCGACGUACGAAAUAGCCACUGACAGUGUGCGUGUCACCGUAGCACCACUCACCAUGCAGUCACAGACAUGGCUGUCCGUUCUGGGUUGACCACUCAUCACUGUCUGGCUGCUGCUAACAGAGGGCGACAUUGCAACAUGGUCUGGUUCCAAGUACUUCUGACAUGGGUGGUUAGUGACACACGCGGUACAUAGAAGUGGCAUCACACUGCGACAUUUUCCUACCAGUAUCACUGUCAGCGGACUGAGGUGCUCCCCAACCCGCAAAAGGCACUGCAGAUGAUGUCCAAGUUGUACAAUCGCAAGGCACCAAACUUGUCAAACAGUGAUGGAUACAUUGUAUGUCACAAGUCCAAAAGUACUGUCUACUCCUGUUUGGUGCUUAGCUGUGGUUUGCAACAUGAAACAGCCAGAGAAGUUCCAGCUGGUGGCCAUGUGGUGGAAGCCUUUGUUCUUUGAGUCAUUCUGACUCCAUGCUUGAGUAACAUUGACUCCACACCACAGCUCACACAGUGUUUACCUGAUUUGUUUUUAUUACAGGCAAUGGCCACUCAUUCAGUUGGAAUGUCCAGCUAAAUGAACUCCAAAUCUUGGGCCAGAAUUCUCAAGCCAUUUUCUUCUGUGUCGAUGUUUUAUCUGAGGAAGGAAAAUCUACAGAGAGACACCAUCCCCAAAGCCAACUACAGCAUGCAUGUCAUCACCAUCCUUUGAUUGAGACAAACCUGUAGCUGCAGAUUUUUUUUUGAUGUGUCUUGUACCAGCUGUCCUCAUUGGAUCCUCUUCCACAAGUCCAAGCACUGAUGCCAUGACUAGCGUGACAUGAUUGAGUAUCCUUGCUCAUCAACCUCUGUGCCUGUAGUACUAGCGAAUAUCCAGAUGCUCAGGCGUGGCAGGGCACCUGUUGGAAUCACAAAGCAUUGUACAGUAGCACACAGCAAGGUGGAGGGAAUUUGCUUUAAGUCUUCUAUUAUAAGUUUCUUUCACCAGCAAACCAUCACAAGAAUGACUGUCCAGAUGUUGUGACUUGUAUGUUGCUUGCUGAUUUUACUGUGGUCUGCUUUCAUGGAGAUGUCAUCGACUGGCUGAAGGAGCAUAGGUGAUCAACAAUUUUAUAUGCAAACCCUACAGUACAGGUUAAAGAACGUCAGCGAGCCAAGCAGGGUGAAGUGGUUUCUGUCUACUGUGGUCCUUGGAGGGGCUUCACUUCACAAGCUUGGCCAGUGCAAACGGUGUUCCAGAGCUCAAAGAUUAGAUUUGCAAAAUUAAAGUAUCCAUCAUUGCCUUGACACACUAAACAUGGUUUCAGGUUUGCAAUGUAGAUGCUUUUAGUCAGAAAAAGCAAAUUUUGCGGACAGCUGUGGUAUCAAGGGUGUUUUUUGUCUAGGAAAAGAAAUAACCUUAAUUUAAAGUCUAGCUGCAAUGCAUUUUUCUUUGAAACAAAUUUGUCUGGAACUUUGAACACUUAUUCUAUGUGUAAAAACUCUUACAUUCCUAUUUGAGUACAUGCAUUCAAGAGUGCACUUUUGAAACACUUAAAAUUAUCCAUGCCUUCCUGGACAAUUGAUGAGGGCGCUGUUGCUGUAAUGUCGAGGGAAGAUAUUUCAGCGCAUAGGUUUUUAACAUUUCUGAAAAAGGGACUGAUGUUUGCUUAUUGCUAUAGACAUAAAUAAAAGUUGAAUCAGCAGAGAAGAAAGUUUUGUCGAGCAAAAUCUACAAAAAUACAUCACUUUUGUGAACAAAUUAAUUUAACAUAGGGCUUUCUUCUUGGGAUGACAUCACAGUUUUGCUCAUGAAUAUGAAAAUGUCAUUAGCAUAAAAACCCAAAAGGCAGUAAAUUGCCCUUUGAAACUCUGAAACAAAAGUUGAAAAUCACGUAAACUGGGACACAGAGGAUGCAUGUUGAGGUGUUUUAGUCAAACAAAUUGAUUGCAGCCACCCUUGAAGUUGGUGUCCAAUCGAAUUCAGUAAAAAAAAAAUCAGUAUUUUGUGCAUUGGAUGGACUAAUUUCGGCAAAGUUGUACUAUUUCUUAGAAGUUUCAAAUUUUUUUCUUCAGAUUUUCCUUUUUUCAUCAAAAUACAAAAGCAGGCAUUGUAAAUUCCUCUCAUAUUCCAAAUCACAAGUAGCUCGAACAUGAGGUUUGUUUAUUAUUUCCAUCAUAGUUAAAAGUUUCUUUUUCACCAAUUGAUUUUUUUUGACGGAUACUUGUACAUAAUAUCAAAAUGAAUACAUGUAAUUUUGAAGCAGUUUGUAUAGAAGUGCUUACCCACUUGAUUGACGCACAGUUAUAUUAAACUGAAAUACAUCAAAGUCGGUAUUUAGCAAUCCAUUUCUACCCUCAUUGGUAUGCUGUCUCUUCCGUGUUUGCAUAUUCAAAUUUUGCUUAUUUAAAUAUAUGCAGAUGACCUGUGUCCUCUGACCUUUUUCUAAAUUGCGCAAUACUAACCUUUAAAUAUAAGUUCCGAAUUCUUAUUUAUCAAGAAGCAAUUGGCCUGGUGGUUAGCGAGCUGGCUGCCAGGCCAGGGGAUCCCGGUUCAAUUCCCCGGGGUUCCCGGAAAAGGAGGUUUUUUUUUUUUUUUUU